rnacentral:rRNA from 1 species
UACGUAGGAUCCGAGCAUUAUCCGGAGUGACUGGGUGUAAAGAGUUGCGUAGGUGGCAUAGUAAGUAGGCAGUGAAAUCUGGUGGCUCAACCAUUCAGACUAUUGCCUAAACUGCUAAGCUCGAGACUGUUAGGGGUAGCUGGAAUUUCUAGUGUAGGUGUGAAAUCCGUAGAUAUUAGAAAGAACACCGAUAGCGUAGGCAGGCUACUGGGGCAGUUCUGACACUAAGGUACGAAAGCGUAGGUAGCAA